AUUUAGCAAAUCUAAAGGAUCGCAGUGAAAAUCCUUUGUUGCCGGGGUUCGGCAACAAAGAUUAUAACGGAGAGCGGGACUUUGC
rnacentral:sRNA from 1 species